rnacentral:rRNA from 1 species
UGGAGCAUGUGGUUUAAUUCGAAGCAACGCGAAGAACCUUACCAGGUCUUGACAUCCCGAUGCUAUUUCUAGAGAUAGAAAGUUACUUCGGUACAUCGGUGACAGGUGGUGCAUGGUUGUCGUCAGCUCGUGUCGUGAGAUGUUGGGUUAAGUCCCGCAACGAGCGCAACCCCUAUUGUUAGUUGCCAUCAUUCAGUUGGGCACUCUAGCGAGACUGCCGGUAAUAAACCGGAGGAAGGUGGGGAUGACGUCAAAUCAUCAUGCCCCUUAUGACCUGGGCUACACACGUGCUACAAUGGUUGGUACAACGAGUUGCGAGUCGGUGACGGCGAGCUAAUCUCUUAAAGCCAAUCUCAGUUCGGAUUGUAGGCUGUAACUCGCCUACAUGAAGUCGGAAUCGCUAGUAAUCGCGGAUCAGCACGCCGCGGUGAAUACGUUCCCGGGCCUU